rnacentral:rRNA from 1 species
AGUGAACGCUGGCGGUAGGCCUAACACAUGCAAGUCGAACGGCAGCACAGUAAGAGCUUGCUCUUACGGGUGGCGAGUGGCGGACGGGUGAGGAAUACAUCGGAUUCUACUUUUUCGUGGGGGAUAACGUAGGGAAACUUACGCUAAUACCGCAUACGACCUACGGGUGAAAGCAGGGGAUCUUCGGACCUUGCGCGAUUGAAUGAGCCGAUGUCGGAUUAGCUAGUUGGCGGGGUAAAGGCCCACCAAGGCGACGAUCCGUAGCUGGUCUGAGAGGAUGGUCAGCCACACUGGAACUGAGACACGGUCCAGACUCCUACGGGAGGCAGCAGUGGGGAAUCUUGGACAAUGGGCGCAAGCCUGAUCCAGCCAUACCGCGUGGGUGAAGAAGGCCUUCGGGUUGUAAAGCCCUUUUGUUGGGAAAGAAAAGCAGCAGGUUAAUACCCCGCUGUUCUGACGGUACCCAAAGAAUAAGCACCGGCUAACUUCGUG